rnacentral:rRNA from 1 species
GAUGAACGCUGGCGGCGUGCCUAAUACAUGCCAGUCGAGCGAACAGACGAGGAGCUUGCUCCUCUGACGUUAGCGGCGGACGGGUGAGUAACACGUGGAUAACCUACCUAUAAUACUGGGAUAACUUCGGGAAACCGGAGCUAAUACCGGAUAAUAUAUUGAACCGCAUGGUUCAAUAGUGAAAGACGGUUUUGCUGUCACUUAUAGAUGGAUCCGCGCCGCAUUAGCUAGUUGGUAAGGUAACGGCUUACCAAGGCAACGAUGCGUAGCCGAUCUGAGAGGGUGAUCGGCCACACUGGAACUGAGACACGGUCCAGACUCCUACGGGAGGCAGCAGUAGGGAAUAUUCGGCAAUGGGCGAAAGCCUGACGCAGCCAUGCCGCGUGAGUGAAGAAGGUCUUCGGAUCGUAAAACUCUUUUAUUAGGGAAGAACAACUGUGUAAGUAACUCUGCACGUCUUGACGGUACCCAAUCAGAAAGCAACGGCUAACUACGUG